AUGAGCUCGGGGUGUUCUGCAAUUACACUUACUUGUGCUCUUGCUCUUUUUUCCCCCUCGCUGAGUAGGAACAGACAAUGUUUUCCAUUCCAGUUGCCUCUUACAGUUGCAGAGAGGGUGCUGGUGGGCUCUGUGUUGGGGCUUUUACUGUUGUGGAACAUGGUGGGUAGGAUGGCUGGGCCAAAUAUCACAGCUAGUAUGGAUGGUGGGAGGCAUUAUGGACCCAUCAUUUUUGAAAAGCAGCGUCUUGGAGGAACAGCAGCAUGCUAUGGUGACAAACUCACUUCACUCCACUUAUUUCAUGACACACCAUGAACAGUUUCAUCCAAUUAAUUUGCUACAGUUAACCCCUAACUAUAUUAUAGAUCUUAAAAAAAUGCAGAUAUAAAAAAUUUAAACAUUUUAGUGUUAUGUGUAAAAAUACCUUGAGUUAUUUCACAUUUAAUUAAUUUGGAUAAUUUUUUUCUUCCAGCUAUUAUUUAGAAUCUUUCUUUAUUGUAAAAACAUGAAUAUGUAGUCUUAUUCUAAGGAUGCAGGUGGAGCUGUGUGUGUCUUUUUGUGUGUCUGGUCAGCUACAUAUCGCAGAAACAAAGCUUAGUAAAAGGUUUAGACAAGUUGAAUUCAGUCCAGUUCAACAGGUGGUUCUGAGAAUUUUGUCCUAAUAGGUGUUUACUGUCAUUUCUAAUUUGCAAUAAUUGAGCCGUCAUAAAGCUUAGUCUGAUUCUUAUCCUUGCUAUUUUUAUUUAGUUUUAUAGUAAGUGGAUUCUGCUGCCGGAAGAUUUCUCCAGCGCUCUGACUCGCAUGUCCAAUAUUAUUAGUUGCUAUGAGUUCAGCCUGUGCAAAUCUGUUAAUGCAUAAGACCAUAAGAGCUUCUUAUGUUCCAAGCCAGGUCAGAGUGAAGACACAUCAGAUUAAUAUUUGAUCAUGCAGAAGGGCCCUUAAUCAGAUUUGCUUAUUCCCUUAGCUGAGUGCUCUGCAGCAAUUAUCAUAAUUGUUGCGCUAAACAUGCUUGUCUUUACGGCUGGCGGUUGGACGUGAGCGUGUGCCGUGAGAGGGGGAUUCUAGCACCAAACCCAAUUAAUGCAGGAUGGAUGGCUGGGCCUGCUGAGGGAGAAAGAGGAUAUAGGGAAGAGGAAGGGGAGGGCCAUGGGCAGGGAUGCUGGUCCAGCCCACAGCCAGUGACAUAGCCCAGAGCAGCACACUCAAUUCCAGCCACCUGGAGCUCCCAGGACAGGCUCUCCACAUGCUGUAAUCCCCCCCUUACCUUCAGCCAUGUCACCAGCUCCGGCCGAUGUGAGGGAAAGCAAAGCUGCAGCAGGAAAAUGACCAUUUCAGACAAGUGUCUAUAGGAUUGCAUUCAUUUCAUAGAUUUUCUGAGCUUUUAAAGACAAGAUUCUCUAGUUCAGCUUUCUCUUUUCUCUUCUGUCUCUAAACACUGUCCGACCGGGAGAUAGAAAUCCUAUUUUAAACUACAAAAGUGUGUGAAACAAGGGGAAUGCACUGCAAGUUUCAGCCUGAUUAACUAAUUAAGUGUGUUAGUGUAUUCCUCUUUAUUUAAAUAAGUUUUAAUUUGUAUUUGCAAAAAUUCUCAAUCCUUAUUUUUAUCUUAACUAUUAGAACCAUAUAUAGACUUAUUGUAAAUAGAAAUGAUUUACAUUUUGUAGGUUUAAAUAGAAAAAUAAAUUGGAAAAUUUAUAGAUAUUUGGUUCUUGUUAAUAGCACAUAUGUCACAACAGAAUAGCUUAAGACAGAAAAAUACUGUUUUAUUGACCUAUUUAAAUAAAAGUGGUUCACAUCAAAUUCUGUGGAUUACUCUCAGUACUACAUUGUUUUGGAAAGACAGGUUGCUGUGAGUUUUUAAACUUUAUAUAUAUUUAAAUAUAUUUGUUUAUGCUUUGACAACAAGAAAAAACCCUUCAAAACCCUGGAAAAUCCAAAUCAAAUACCACAACUUGGAAAGUGGAAAUUAUGUUUCUUUUUUUGUUUUGGGUAACUUGUGUAAACUUAAGCCUUUAAUCAAGCAGAAGUGUCACUGCCAAAGGAGGACAGCUAGCUAAAAGGGUCUAAUGUGUGGGCACACACACUCACACACACACACACACACACACAGACACACACACACACACACACAUAUACAAAACCACUCUAAAUCAGUUAGUCUAUUUUAAUAACUGUAGAGAAAUGGAGUACAUAUAUAUACAAAUAAUAAUAAAAUAAUAAAAUCUACUAGAUAAAAAGAAGAAAGGGAAUCAUCUUGAAGCUUUUAUCCACAACACAUUCAUCCUUGGAAGACAGAAUAUGCUAUGAUAUUUGAUUAAUGGAAUUAGGGAGGUGAAAUGUUUAAAAUUGAUUUACAGACUUCUGAGAUGAUUUUUUUCACAUUAGGAUGAUGAAACAUAUAGUAGCCCAAUCUUCUACUGCAGUGUUUGUACCUUUUAUGAAAAAAAAAAAAACAUUUGGAUCGAAACAUUUAUGAAUCAGAAAUUGUUAUUAUGUCAAACCAAAACAAUAAAAUAACCAAAGAAAAAUCCUGUUCUGUGUCAUUUUGAUUGCUCUCUGAUGAAUAUGUUUUCAGCUAACCAGUUUGUCAUAAACAUGUCUAUUAAAUAAAUGCGCCUGUGGAUCAGUUCUGUCUGUAUGAAAGUCAUCCAUCCUGCUGGAGGCAUGGCACUGCACAAAGAAACACUAGGAGAGAUGGUUCCCCAUUAAUCUACGUUGACUGGCUGGAAAUUGCAUCUUUGUAAUGAGUAUUAGGUGUGCAUCUACAUGAAUUAAAGCUGAAUGAGCCUCUGAUUGAUCACCUCCUCCCAAAUGAUGCUCCUUCCAUGAUCAUUAUUGUUUAAAAGUGACUAAAUCAUAUCGGGAUGAUUAAAAGUCUCGGCUCUGAGGGGAGGGAAGAUAAAGUAACGACACAGUGUCUGAGAAAUUGUGCUUCUAUCCCCAAAUUCUGUUUAUAUGGUUGUGGUGUAUUUCUAGUUGAGAUUGUGCCUGUCUGGUUAUAUAGAAGUACAGGGAGUGGUUACUGUAUAUUUGCACAUCAACUUUCAGUAUCUCAAUCUCUAAUGACAUUCAUAUGGUUAAAAUGAUAUUCAUAAUAAAUAUGGUUAACCUGUUUAUAACAUGACUACUUGUUUUUUGUCAGACAUCGUGUGUGAGCUGCCGUUUCUAUUUUUCCCAGUGUUUUCUUUUUCAGUUCCUCCCAACUUAACCGUGUAUAAACAACAAUAAAACACUACAACCACAACUGGACAAUAAGAAAGGACUGACCUGCAUCCACACAUCUGCUAGUAGUGUACAAACAACAACUCCAUACUUGUUUCAGAUGCCACACACUCAACUAUGAUGGGAUGAGAUUAUUUUUUGGAAAAACCUGACCACAUGAAAGGUCUGUAAGGGUAAAUAGAGUGCACACGCAAUGUUUGAAGUUGGGGCCAAAAAGUCCAGGUGUUUUUACAGGCAUUGUGGCAUUUAUGUGGUCUAAACUAUAUGUCUGGAGUCGCCUACACGAAAGUGCUAGACAUCCCUGCCAGGUAUUCGCUUACUUCAUAAAGUACAUUCAACUGUGGGCAGCUGAUUUGCUCCAGUUUGAGUCUCAGCCAUAAAAUCUUGAUUGUUUGGACUCCCACUUGACUCUGGUAUUUUAAAAAAACGGGCCCCACACAUCUAACAACUGGCCAGAGUGCAAAUUCAGCUGCUCACACGCAGCCAUUUUGCACGUUCACAUUUUAAAACUUUAAAGUGUAAAGCAUUACCAGAAAUCCUAUUGUUUAAAGAAUAAAUUGUAGUUUCCA
rnacentral:lncRNA from 15 species